rnacentral:sRNA from 1 species
AGCGGUUUGGAACACAGACCUUAUGAAAGCAGUUUUAGUAAAGCAGUCCUCAGUUCAAGUGUUAUCCACAGAUACUCUUCUUCAUGAGCCUCCUCCUAAGUGCCAAAUAAGUAACUCUAAAUACAGGCCAUCACAGUCACAUCAGUGGCUCAUCAAUUAAGGAACGUAUCUAUGUCUAAUAAAAUGACUGGUUUAGUAAAAUGGUUUAACUCUGAUAAAGGCUUUGGUUUUAUCACGCCUGACGACGGCAGCAAAGAUGUAUUCGUACACUUCUCUGCAAUUCAGAGCGACAGCUAUAAAACGCUGGAUGAAGGACAGAAAGUCUCCUUCACCAUUGAAAGCGGCGCUAAAGGCCCGGCUGCAGGUAAUGUUACCGCGCUGUAAGCCACGCUUAUUAUCAGCGAUGCUUACAAUAGCGAUGAAGGCAACAGCCUGAGCAGUUAAC